GCGAGAGUUAAGAAGUGCCUUGCAGGAGGCUGGGUUCCUGCGGGCUCGCUAGGUGGUUUCUCUGAGGAGCCUCUGCGGCAUUGCGCUCUCACCUUGACCAGAGGGUGCUCCAGCCAGUACUCCCGGGCUGAGGUUAAAUGCAGUGAGCUAGUCAUCGAAUUAUGAGGGCAAGAAUUCGCUAUGGUUAUUGGAAUGCCAUCUGAAGCCCUACUGUUCGGAAUCCAGUCCUGUCUUCACCGCGUUCUUUGAUUUGGUGGCAGCAGUGAGAUUGAAGGAGACUUCUGACAGCUUCAGGGACAAUGAGAAAUACAGGCCCAAUGCCCUGUGAAUCCUUUGAGUUCUUUGUCUUUUUUGAAGUUUCUGAGGGCCACAGGUGAGUAAGGAAUUGUUUGUGCUAUGGCCAACACCACUUACUGCACCUGGAGGAAUACUUCUGAAGCUGAAACUCAGCUACAUAAGAUCACUGAAUCAACCACUUGACUUAAGAGUAACUCCUUUCUUUGAUGUAUUUGAUUUUGAUUGGUUUGGUCUUAGGGACCAUGACUCUAAAGGGCACUGCAGACUUUGGGAAUUGUCCUGCUUAUCAUAGUCAUAGUAGUCUCCCUGGUGUGCCAUAUUCUCUCAAAAGCUUUAAAUGCAUGGUUGCAGCCACCCACCACCAAGCAAAUGUUCUCCCUAAGCCUGGAAUGUCAGGAAUAGAGUGAAGAGAAUGACUGGAUAAAAAAAAAUUGUGAACCCUAAGUCAUGACCUGUAAAUAACACAGAGAAUAUGCAAAAACUGUGGGAACCUCAGAGUUUUAGCUACAAGUGGUACUAAUGCCUUAAAUUUUGAUCACAUCUCACAGUUAAGCUGAGAGUCUGAUCAAAAGGGGGGAAUUGUUAAAAAAAGAUACAGUAGUUCCCAAGUGGAGUCACUCAUGCCAGAAGUCACCAAACUGAGACUUAAUACCUAACCUAACUGAAGUCAGUCUGGAAUUUUCUGGUCAGCACUAGUGAUGUAGUCCACCAGAUAGACCCCUGCUGCCCCCCGCGCCCCCCAAAGAACAGUGACCUUGCCUGAAACAGUCUACUCUUUGCUGGUAACUUCUUUAUCCUUCCUCCUUCUCCUUGUAAAAGUCUUCCAUUUUGUACAGCUCCUUGGAGCUCCUUUCUGUUUGCUUGAUGGGAUGCUGCCAAAUUCAUGAAUUGUUGAAUAAGGCCAAGAAGAUCUUUAAAACUUAGUUGAAUUUUGUUAUUUACAGGUAUAUUGUACAUUCUCUUCCAUAGCCUUUUAAAAAAUGUAUUACAUUUUAGGGAGUUUUUCAUGUUAGUAAAUAUAAAUCAUUUCAGCCCUGUUUUAUAGAAGUUGUAUAUUCCAUUUAACCAAACCUUAUUGUUGGGUGUCUGAUGAGUCACAAGUUUUUUGUUAUUGCACAUGAUGCACAUUGAAUAUCAAUAAAGUUGAAUGAGGAUUGAAUAAGUCAAUCAGUAUAAAACAUUUCACAGAGUACUUGGCAAAUAGUAAGUUCUUUAUAAAUGUUAGUGUUAUUUUUAUAUUGUCAAAUUGCCCUGUAUAAAAGUGAACUAAUUUACAUUCCCAACAGCAGCGUGAGAGGGUUCAGUUUCCCUUAAUCCUUGCCAAUUCUUUCAAUUUUUGCCUUUUAUAUUUCUCCUUCUGUGAAUGGCCUAUUCAUGUUCUUUGACAGUUCUCCUAUUGGAUUCUUCAUGCUUUAAAGUUUUUAAUUGAUUUCUGUACUAGGGCUGUCAAUCUUUUGUAAUAUGAAUAACAGGUACUUUUUCUUCUAUUUUUUGUUUGAUUUUGCUUGCUUUAACCACAAAGGUAUUUUAAAGUUUAAUACAAUUAAAUCUGUUCAUCUUUUCCUUUAA
rnacentral:lncRNA from 1 species